CUGACCGAAAACCUGUGAAUUGUAGAACGCCAACUGGCACAGCAGCCUCAAUUCCAUCCUGGACCUGCUAUAUAGUCAAAUAAUAUUUCAGCCACGGACAUUGAUUAGCUGGUGACACUCAAGGUGAUGGUGGGCAUUAAACUUUUAAGGCAUACGAACUAUUUAAAGGGAACCUCAGGGACAACAUUUUCACACAGACAGUGGUGGAACCUGUAUUGCAUCAGAGUGCUUUGCUGAUAGUGUUCAUGCAACAUUAUGCUGAUGGAACCUGAGUCCUUGACAAACUGCAGAACAGGAGAUAUACUACUGGAAGAAUAAAAUGCAUAUUGAUUAAGCAGGACUGAAUGCACCUUUUGCUUGAACUGAACUGAGGCAUGGGUAGCUGUACUUUUGUAUAAAGGAGUGACUA